AUGACUACUAAUGAACCAAAAAAGUGGGUCUCUUGGCUGUCUCUGGCUGAAUAUUGGUACAAUUCCACAUACCACACCGCCUUGAGGACGUCUCCAUUUCAAGCCCUAUAUGGAUUUCCCCCUCCCCUCAUUUCUGAAUUAGCAAUUCCUGGUCCUGAGGAAAAGGAGGCACAUGAUUUCCUCAGUUCUAAACAACAAAUGUUGGAUCUGCCAAAGAGCAACUUACAACAAGCACAAAAUAGGAUGAAACACUAUGCUGAUAUGAAAAGAGUGGAAAGAGUUUUUCAAGUUGGGGAGCUAGUUUAUCUGAAAAUGGCCCCAUACAGACUGGCAGCUUUUGGGUUUCGAGGAGCUCUGAAACUCCAAAACAGAUACUACGGCCCUUUCUUAAUCACACAAAAGGUGGGACAGUCAGCUUACAAGCUCCAGUUUCCUGCAGAUGUCAAGAUUCAUCCGGUGUUCCACGUGAGCCAGCUCAAGAAACACAUCGGAGACAAAUCCAUUCCCAGUCCCCACUUACCAAUGGUGAAUGCAGAUGGAACGAUCAAAACUGGUCCAGCGGCAGUUCUGCAAGUCAGGCAAAUUCCCAAGCACAACACACCGGUUGUCCAGUGGCUUAUUUAG
rnacentral:rRNA from 1 species